AUUGAACGCUGGCGGCAUGCUUUACACAUGCGAGUCGAACGGUAACAGGCCGCAAGGUGCUGACGAGUGGCGAACGGGUGAGUAAUGCAUCGGAACGUGCCCAGUCGUGGGGGAUAACUACUCGAAAGAGUAGCUAAUACCGCAUACGAUCUAUGGAUGAAAGCGGGGGACCGUAAGGCCUCGCGCGAUUGGAGCGGCCGAUGUCAGAUUAGGUAGUUGGUGGGGUAAAGGCUCACCAAGCCAACGAUCUGUAGCUGGUCUGAGAGGACGACCAGCCACACUGGGACUGAGACACGGCCCAGACUCCUACGGGAGGCAGCAGUGGGGAAUUUUGGACAAUGGGCGCAAGCCUGAUCCAGCAAUGCCGCGUGCAGGAAGAAGGCCUUCGGGUUGUAAACUGCUUUUGUACGGAACGAAACGGCUCUGGUUAAUACCCGGGGCUAAUGACGGUACCGUAAGAAUAAGCACCGGCUAACUACG
rnacentral:rRNA from 1 species